rnacentral:rRNA from 1 species
UACGUAGGGUGCGAGCGUUAAUCGGAAUUACUGGGCGUAAAGCGUGCGCAGGCGGUGAUGUAAGACCGAUGUGAAAUCCCCGGGCUUAACCUGGGAACUGCAUUGGUGACUGCAUCGCUCGAGUAUGGCAGAGGGGGGUAGAAUUCCACGUGUAGCAGUGAAAUGCGUAGAGAUGUGGAGGAAUACCGAUGGCGAAGGCAGCCCCCUGGGUCAAAACUGACGCUCAUGCACGAAAGCGUGGGGAGCAAACAGG